CUCACCGCAGCGAGCAGAAUACAUGCCCUACUUGUCCUGCCUGGAGUCGGGGUUUGAGGUGACUGUGAUUCAGCUUUUUUAAAGCUGUGUAUUGAAGAUAAAAAGCAUUCAUUGCGGAUUGUUUUUAUCGUCCGGCUGAAAAUGAAGGACAAUGCUCCAUGCCACACAGCCAGGCCAAUAAAGGUGUGGAUGGAGGACCACCAGAUCAAGACCCUGUCAUGGCCAGCCCAAGCUCCAGACCUGAACCCCACUGAAAACCUCUGAAAUGUUAUCAAGAGGAAGGACACAAGGUCACAAGCUGUCAAACAAAGCCAAGCUGCUUGAAUUUUUGUGCCAGGAGUGGCAUAAAGUCACCCAACAGCAAUGUGACCGACUGCUAGACAGCAUGCCAAGACGCUUGAAAGCUGUGAUUGGAAAUCAGCAAUAUUCCACCAAAUUUUGAAUAUUCUGAACUCAGUUAAAACAUUAUAACAUUAGUGUUGUUUAAAAAAAAAAAACAAUGAAUAUAAACUUUUUUCCAUUAUUUGAGGUCUGAAAACAUGGCAUCUUUUUGUUAUUUUGACCAUUUUAUGCAUUAGACACAUCAUUCAAAACUAACAGCUCUUGAGUUUCAUUUGGAAAACACUGCAAUUCAAAUGCCACACUCAUUUUCCAAUUACCUACACCCAAUGAUCAUGUGUGAAAACACUUAAUUUGUUCACUUAGAAAUCAAAACUCAAUGUUUUGAGAAGAAAUAGAUUAUUUUUACCCCUUGCAUUUGUUUAAAAGGUAAAUUUAUCUAAUCUAAUCACUUAGAAAUCAAAACUCAAUGUUUUGAGAUAUAUGCAUAUAACCUGAAUAUGCAUACAAGUCAUCACCUUUGUUCUAUAGCGCUUUAUGCAAUACAGAUUGUUUCAAAGCAGCUUCACAAAAGUAACAAAUUCAAAUUCAUCUGUAAAGCAGCUCUAGCAAGCCAAUUGUGUCAUUAUACAGCUCAAGUCAGUUCAGUGUUGAUUCAGUUCAGUUCAAUAACUGUAAAGUUCAUCAAUUGUGCAUACAUAUUGUAUAUACAGUUUAUUUGUGCACAUACACGUAUGUGUUAGACAAACUCCUGUGCACUCCACUGCACACUGAACAAAAGACAUGAGAUAUUAGUGUUUUACAUUUUUUCACAUGUGCGUAUAUAUGGCUAAUCAUUUGAUGAUUUGUGUGUAGAGAUACUAUGCAAAAACACCAUUUUUAGAAGAGUUAAUAUGAUUUAUGAAUGAAUGAAUUAAUGUAAAAUGUGAUUAAUAAUUGAAAAAGGUCAUUUUUUUCUGAACAUAUUCGUUCACAAUCAUUAGAAAUCAAGAAGUAAAGGAAAGUCAACUAAAUCAAACUGAACAAAGAAAAGCAGGUUAACAUUAUUAAGCGCAAAGCUGUGGAUUAAAGAGCAGACAGGUGUCAUUAUUAUCAGCUUCUUGUGUUAUACAUUAGUGUCAGGUAAACUUUCAACACAAAUAUUAAUUUGCCUAUCAAGGACAUAUUAAAGUUAAAGUGAUUAUGCA